GCUCGUACGUGACCUGCGGAGGGAUCAUUAAAAAGAUGGGUCCUCUGGGACCCUUCAUCCAUAAACCUGCGGAAGUGAGACGUGCUUCGGCGCCUCUGGGCGUCGAGUCUAUGCUGUUUAGCUUUGUGUCUGAACAAAAACAAAAUUUAAAACUUUCAACAAAGGAUCUCUUGGCUCUCGUAUCGAUGAAGAACGCAGCAAAGCGCGAAAUGUAAUGUGAAUUGCAGAACAUUGUGAGUCAUCGAAUCUUUGAACGCACAUUGCGCCUCCCGUAAAUGGGAGGCAUGCCUGUCUGAGCGUCAUUUAAAACCAUAACCUUUGGGUUGUAUUGGGACUCACCCAUGGGUGUCUCCUCAAAGUCAUCGUGUCUAAAAGCGUGCGAGUUCCAUUAGGACAGAACGUUUGAGGACCCUAAACUCUCUGACUUGACCUCAGAUCAGGUAGGACUACCGCCUGAACUUAAGCAUAUCAAUAAGGCGAGGAACAGAAACCAACAGGGAUUCCCCUAGUAGUGGCGAAUGAACCGGGAAAAGCUCAAGUUUGAAAUCUGGUAUCAACCAGAGUUGUAAGCUGAAGAGGCAUCGACCGAUGAUGGUCCAGGCUCAAUGAUCCUUGGAAUAGGCAUGUCAUAGAAGGUGAAAAUCCCGUCUGUGGCUUGAGUGCCGUCCUCUUUGUGUCGUGUCCCUCGAAGAGUCGGGGUUGUUUGGGAAUGCCGCUCAAAAUGGGGUGGGUAAAUUUCAUCCUGAGGCAAAAUAUUUGGGGGAGAGACCCAAUACCAACAAAGUUAAGUGUAUCCAAUAG
rnacentral:rRNA from 1 species